UACGUAGGGGGCUAGCGUUGUCCGGAAUUAUUGGGCGUAAGAGCUCGUAGGCGGUCUGUCGCGUCUGCUGUGAAAACUCAGGGCUUAACCCUGAGCUUGCAGUGGGUACGGGCAGACUAGAGUGCGGUAGGGGAGACUGGAAUUCCUGGUGUAGCGGUGAAAUGCGCAGAUAUCAGGAGGGAACACCGGUGGCGAAGGCGGGUCUCUGGGCCGA
rnacentral:rRNA from 1 species